GGCUCAGGACGAACGCUGGCGGCGUGCUUAACACAUGCAAGUCGAACGAAGCACUUUAUUUGAUUUCCUUCGGGACUGAUUAUUUUGUGACUGAGUGGCGGACGGGUGAGUAACGCGUGGGUAACCUGCCUUGUACAGGGGGAUAACAGUUGGAAACGGCUGCUAAUACCGCAUAAGCGCACAGCAUCGCAUGAUGCAGUGUGAAAAACUCCGGUGGUAUAAGAUGGACCCGCGUUGGAUUAGCUAGUUGGUGAGGUAACGGCCCACCAAGGCGACGAUCCAUAGCCGACCUGAGAGGGUGACCGGCCACAUUGGGACUGAGACACGGCCCAAACUCCUACGGGAGGCAGCAGUAGG
rnacentral:rRNA from 1 species